rnacentral:rRNA from 1 species
AGUGAACGCUGGCGGUAGGCCUGACACAUGCAAGUCGAACGGCAGCACAGUAAGAGCUUGCUCUUACGGGUGGCGAGUGGCGGACGGGUGAGGAAUACAUCGGAAUCUACUUUUUCGUGGGGGAUAACGUAGGGAAACUUACCCUAAUACCGCAUACGACCUACGGGUGAAAGCAGGGGAUCUUCGGACCUUGCGCGCUUCAAUGAGCCGAUGUCGGAUUAGCUAGUUGGCGGGGUAAAGGCCCACCACGGCGACGAUCCGUAGCUGGUCUGCGAGGGUGAGCAGCCACACUGGAACUGAGACACGGUCCAUACUCCUACGGGAGUCAGCAGUCGGGAAUAUCUGACAAUGGGCGCAACCCUGAUUCAGCCAUCCCGCGUCGGUGAAGAAGGCCUUCGGGUUGUAAAGCCCUUUUGUUGGGAAAGAAAAGCAGCAGGUUAAUACCGCGCUGUUCUGACGGUACCCAACGGAUAAGCACCGGCUAACUUUGUC